AGAGUUUGAUCAUGGCUCAGAAUGAACGCUGGCGGCAGGCCUAACACAUGCAAGUCGAGCGGGCACCUUCGGGUGCUAGCGGCGGACGGGUGAGUAACGCGUGGGAACAUACCCUUUGGUACGGAAUAGCCUCGGGAAACUGAGAGUAAUACCGUAUGUGGUCGUAAGACGAAAGAUUUAUCGCCAAAGGAUUGGCCCGCGUUGGAUUAGGUAGUUGGUGGGGUAAUGGCCUACCAAGCCGACGAUCCAUAGCUGGUUUGAGAGGAUGAUCAGCCACACUGGGACUGAGACACGGCCCAGACUCCUACGGGAGGCAGCAGUGGGGAAUCUUAGACAAUGGGCGCAAGCCUGAUCUAGCCAUGCCGCGUGAUCGAUGAAGGCCUUAGGGUUAUAAAGAUCUUUCAGUGGGGAAGAUAAUGACGGUACCCACAGAAGAG
rnacentral:rRNA from 1 species